AUUGAACGCUGGCGGCAUGCUUUACACAUGCAAGUCGAACGGUAACAGGGAGCUUGCUCCGCUGACGAGUGGCGAACGGGUGAGUAAUGCGUCGGAACGUGCCGAGUAGUGGGGGAUAACGCAGCGAAAGUUGUGCUAAUACAGCAUACGUACUGAGGUAGAAAGUGGGGACCUUCGGGCGUCACGCUAUGCGAGCGGCCGACGUCUGAUUAGCUAGUAGGUGGGGUAAAGGCUCACCUAGGCGACGAUCAGUAGCGGGUCUGAGAGGAUGAUCCGCCACACUGGGACUGAGACACGGCCCAGACUCCUACGAGAGGCAGCAGUGGGGAAUUUUGGACAAUGGGCGAAAGCCUGAUCCAGCCAUGCCGCGUGUCUGAAGAAGGCCUUCGGGUUGUAAAGGACUUUUGUCGGGGAGGAAAUCCCCAGCGCUAAUACCGCUGGGGGAUGACAGUACCUGAAGAAUAAGCACCGGCUAACUACGUGCCAGCCGCCGCCGUAAUAC
rnacentral:rRNA from 1 species